AGUGAACGCUGGCGGCGUGCCUAAUACAUGCAAGUCGAACGGAGUGGCGCACGGGUGAGUAAUAUAUAGCUAAUCUGCCCCUUGCUGGAGGACAACAGUUAGAAAUGACUGCUAAUACUCCAUAGCAAGGGAUGGGACUAUAUCGUAUCAGCUAGUCGGUGGGGUAACGGCCUACCGAGGCGCUGACGCGUAACAGGUCUGAGAGGAUGAUCAGGCAAAUUGGAAGUGAGGCACCGUCCGAACACCUACGGGAGGCAGCAGAAGGGAAAAGUGCGCAAUGGGGGAGACCCUGACGCAGCAACGGGGCGUGGAGGAUGACACGUUGCGGAGCGUAAACUCAUUUUGUUAGGGAAGCGGUAACUAACGAAUAAGCACCGGCUAACUCCGUGCCAGCAGCCGCGGUAAUUC
rnacentral:rRNA from 1 species